UACGGAGGGUGCAAGCGUUGUCCGGAAUCACUGGGCGUAAAGGGCGCGUAGGCGGCUUGUCGCGUCGACUGUGAAAUCCCGAGGCCCAACUUCGGGCUUGCAGUCGAUACGGGCAGGCUAGAGUUCGGUAGGGGAGACUGGAAUUCCUGGUGUAGCGGUGAAAUGCGCAGAUAUCAGGAGGAACACCGGUGGCGAAGGCGGGUCUCUGGGCCGAUACUGACGCUGAGGAGCGAAAGCGUGGGGAGCAAACAGG
rnacentral:rRNA from 1 species